rnacentral:lncRNA from 1 species
CACCUCGCCGCGCUCUGAUUGGAGGAUGGCUCCGGGCGGGAGCUCGGGGGUAAACAAAGCGGUGUCGUCUUUUCUCCGCAGCCAUUGCGGAAGGCCUUUUCUGUUGCUCUCGGAAAUCCACUGCUAGUGCUUGAACGAAGACGCGGCAUACAGAAAAAAGAGACCGGAAAUACCUCGAAAUGUACGUUACUUCGUUUGACGCGAAAGAAUUUACCCUGGGAGCAUACGAAGCACCAAUAUGCGUCCCGGUCUUCGGCGGUGAGAUGUUGAUGUGAGCCCCCCCCCCAACGUCAGCACGGUGAUGUGCGACGCGAGUGAGCCUUUCUACUUUUUGGCGGAGACCCCUUUUCGCCAGCAAGUGUCUCGGUGUUUCCGUGAAGCACCGAAGUGUAGCUACAGCCCUCUUCGGCGAGCUGAACGGGCUGCCGAGCUUUCGAAGGCCGAUCUCCCGCAGCGCUGGAACCCGGAGAACCGCGCCAUGGCGCUCGCUGAGAAUCCACCGGCUGCCGGGCUACUGAAAGGGCCCUCUGCUCGGAGGACAUGUUGCGGGCCCUGUGUAAUGCCCUCGGCGCCUGUGCGACUUCAGGGGGUCUGCGUUUCACGGCCCCGUUACCAGCUGGGAAAUUCUCCAUGGAGGGGACGACAUCCUGUCCAGCACCAGCUUCACCAUCUGGGACCAAGUGCACGAGGGGUCGCACUGCAAGCAGAUGAAAGGAGGGCACUGCAACCUUGAGGUCAAGCUUGUACAUCUACCAUUACAGUCCUGAAUGGAUGCCAAUUGGUACUGAUGACCUUAUGAAGGUGAAACGUCCCUGGAUCUAAAGGGAAAAUUUGAUUGAAGGCGAGCUGAAGUUGUUUCUGACUUUAUCCUCUUAUGACUUGAAAGUAAUCUGCCUACUUCAUGAAUAUUGAAGAUGCAGAAUUUGUUUCCGUAACUGUCCCACUUCAACGUAAUGUGCACAUUGAAACCUGUUCCUUUUCUUUUUCUGCUUUCCGGCGAGAAAAAAAAGCCAACGAAUCUCCCUUUUCCUUCUCGCAAUGGGGAGGUGUGCAAGACUGAUUGCAUAUUUUAUAUAAGCAAUCAGUUUCAUAAGUGAAUGAAGAUAAAAGCAGAAUACAUGUUCACAGAUUAUUUGUGAAUUCUUAGACUUGCUGAAGUGAGUAGUUCAUGUUCGAGUCAUGUAAUUAUGAAGUCAAAACCAGAUUUAGUGCAUUUUUAAGAAGCCUUUUAGACCUGAGAGUUCUGUUUUGACUCGGCAAUAUACAACUCACCUUUGUUAUUCCUAUAGCACAGCCGAAACUAUAAACAUGAGCAUGUUGCCUGACCAAUGCUUGAACUGCUGUGAAAUCGACGAAGUCCCUAUCCUUCGAGAACAAGUGUCAACGGGGAAUAGUCGAAAGACCAGGGUCAAGUAUGCACACACAUACUUGAUUUCAAGCUUGCAGAUUGAAAUAAUUGUUUAUUGAAUCAUAUCCAUUCUUAAACCUGUUUGAGAUUGUAUUGGUUCAUAUUCACAGUAUAUUUAUUUUUCAUUUCACCAAAGAAUAAUUUAGAGACAGAUGUUGGUGUUCAGGCGUGAUGCUUUUAUUUUUGUCACAUGCAAGAGGGCAAAAAAUUAGAUUCGGCUUUGUAAACUGAUUUUUUUAUGUAUUCUUCCAAACAGCAUAGCAAAGAAUAAUAUAAGGGCUACAGCUGCGAGAGUUGCUACACCUGGCAUCUCAUUUGUUUUAUAGCGUGUACAGGUGAGACACUAUACUCCGUUUCUCGGUAAAUUGGCAAACAUUGUGACCCAAUAAGAGCAUCGGAGCCAGGCACGUGACAACACUCCACGGUCGAGUCCUCGUUAUUGCCACAGCAAGAGCGCCAUCUGCGACAAAACAUAGUUCUAGGCUUUGUUUUUUCUUCUUCUUUUAGUAGUGUUGCCGUCGGAUUCUUCGGACCGCAACACUACACGACACUGAAGAAAGACGAAGACACAUGUUACUGAUUAGCGACACUUAAUAUAGAUCAACACUUUUUUGAGAAAAACAUGGCUUGUGAUCGAAGUUCAAACAAUCGUAGCCGUGAAUCGACCACUUCCGCUCAAAACAUCGCCCUAGCAUUAGCACCCGCCACAGAUUCAUGGGCAAAUUGAGCAUGUGGUUGUAAGACGACAGCCGGUUCUGGCGGGUGGUCCUUGCAUUUGGCGCGGUGACACGAACGCUCCUGUGACAUGCGUCCAUGUGCCUCGCUCCGACAUUCUUACUGGGUCGCAGAAGCCGUAGCCUCCACAGUUCACCAAGCUAUCGUGAAACAGAAUGUAGAGUAAGUUGCCUGCGUGCUAAUGAAAGUAGCCUUGCCAGCAUCAUGUAUUAUGUAUGAAACACUGUAUACUUCGAGAAAACAAAUAAAGCCAUUCAACCUUUCCA